CAGUCGCCGCGGGAAUACGAAGGGGGCUAGCGUUGUUCGGAAUCACUGGGCGUAAAGCGCACGUAGGCGGACACUUAAGUCAGAGGUGAAAUCCCAAGGCUCAACCUUGGAACUGCCUUUGAUACUGGGUGUCUUGAGUUCGGGAGAGGGGAGUGGAACUGCGAGUGUAGAGGUGAAAUUCGUAGAUAUUCGCAAGAACACCAGUGGCGAAGGCGGCUCACUGGCCCGAUACUGACGCUGAGGUGCGAAAGCGUGGGGAGCAAACAGGAUUAGAUACCCGCGUAGUCCCUGUCUCUUAUAC
rnacentral:rRNA from 1 species